UACGUAGGGGCCGAGCGUUGUCCGGAGUUAUUGGGCGUAAAGCGCGCGCAGGCGGCCUCGCGCGCCCGACGUGAAAGCCCCCGGCUUAACCGGGGAGAGUCGUUGGGGACGGCGGGGCUUGAGGGCGGGAGAGGGUGGUGGAAUUCCCGGGUGUAGUGGUGAAAUGCGCAGAUAUCAGGAGGAACACCGGUGGCGAAGGCGGAUCUCUGGGCCGAUACUGACGCUGGAUGCGCGAAAGCUGGGGAGCGAAGCGGG
rnacentral:rRNA from 1 species